rnacentral:rRNA from 1 species
UACGUAGGCAGCGAACGUUGUUCGGAGUUACUGGGCGUAAAGAGUGCGUAGGCGGUUCGCUAAGUCUGGUGUGAAAUCUCCCGGCUUAACUGGGAGGGUGCGCUAGAUACUGGCGGGCUUGAGUAUGGGAGAGGAAAGCGGAAUUCCUGGUGUAGCGGUGAAAUGCGUAGAUAUCAGGAGGAACACCGGUGGUGUAGACGGCUUUCUGGACCAUUACUGACGCUGAGGCACGAAAGCGUGGGGAGCAAACAGG